AUGCCCCUACGGGAGGCAGCAGUGGGGAAUAUUGGGCAAGGGGCGCAAGCCUGACCCAGCAACGCCGCGUGAAGGAAGAAGGCUUUCGGGUUGUAAACUUCUUUUGACAGGGAAGAGUAGAAGACGGUACCUGUCGAAUAAGCCACGGCUAACUACGUGCCAGCAGCCGCGGUAAUACGUAGGUGGCAAGCGUUGUCCGGAUUUACUGGGUGUAAAGGUCGUGUGGCCGGGUUGACCAGUCAGAUGUGAAAUCCUGCGGCUUAACCGCAGAACUGCAUUUCAAACUGUUGAUCUUGAG
rnacentral:rRNA from 1 species